GUGCCUGUAGCUCAGUUGGAUAGAGCGCCAGACUCCGACUCUGGAGGUCGUGGGUUCGAGUCCCGCCGGGCACGCCA
rnacentral:tRNA from 1 species